AUGAACUAUAAAACGUUUCCACUCAUAGUGACCUCAGCAACCUGUGUCCUGUCUUCUCAAUGUGACAGAUUGGGGCCAUCUUCAGAGCCUGCAUCGGAGUGCUCCAUUCUGCGCAGCCCUCCACAAUCUUUGAGGAGCAGGCUUGUACCACAGCCAAUAUCUCUGCUUGGCAACUCUAAUGAACAAAUUGCCACAAAAGUGAGACAGAACACACCUUUUUGAUUUCCUGCUCUUCUAAGACAAAGUGAUUUAGAAUUUCUGUGCAAGCAAGAGAACUAAAGACCUCUUUAAAGAAGAGAAGGUAAGUCCCAGGAACCAAAAUGUCUCCAGUCUUAGAGGCUUCUUCAAAUAUGCAGCUUGUUGGUCUUGACAAAAUAAGUUAAUUUCACAAAGCUACAGUUUACUUUGCAGUCCAUUACUUAUGCUAUUACCCUUCAUGAAUUAGCUUUAGGUAAAUGAUUCCAAAAAGUAUAAUUAAUCUGAUUCUCAUACUAUUUCUACAGGCUUUUCUUUUUCUGGAAAAUUAGAUGAAUGAGGACAUUUGAAAGUAAAAAAUCUCUGCAUUUUGACUAGAGAGAAUUUUCUACCAGGAUAGGAUAGAAUUAUCACAAUGGAUUACAAAGUGUGUAUGGUGUGAUGUGGUGUGUGUGUGUGCAUGUACACACACGUGCUUUCACCAGUUUGGAAGUGAUUUGUUGGAGAGUUCUCUUGUUCUCAGGAAGUCUUAAUCCUUUCUGAUCAGCACUUACAUGUCAACCUUAGAGAAUUAAACCUGUACCUGGUUACUUUUUUUUCUCUCCUUGAUAUAGCUCAAUGCAUUUUCUCAAUGGUAACCAUGGUCUAGUAAUUAAAAGCCUUUGAACCUUAUGAACAGAUUCAUUUAAAACCAUAUUCUGAGGGCUUUCCACAAAAUGGAAAGUGUCUUCUACCAGGAAGCUACAAAAGAAUUUACAAGAGAAAAUCUGCUAAGUGUCCCGCUCAGGAUGAGUGUACGGUAACAUGCCUAGAAGAUCCAGUGUCCUAAAGGAAGUCAUUCACAAAGGGCCUGACUCUUUGGGCUUAAUGGGAUGAACUCUGAAUUUCUUUGCUUUCUCCUAAUCGAUGGUGUGUUUCUUAUUUUAAUACAAAAUUUAGCAAAAAGUUUUUAUGAAGUAAAGUACUUUCUACAUAAAUUACAAAAUAAAUAUAAAAAUAUGUAGGAAUGUUAUUUCUUUUUGAUGCUAUUCAUUGAAAGACAAUAUAUUAAAUUUUUAAAAUCAUGUCAGAAGUUUAGAGGGCA
rnacentral:lncRNA from 1 species